rnacentral:lncRNA from 1 species
AAAUAAUGCUGUCACAUACCAGGUAUUCGUUAAAUUGACUUCUCAAUGUAAUUACUUUAACAUUUCUACUUCUGAUUCAGUACAGAUUUUUGGAUCAUUAAGUACGAUAGUAAAUAUUAUACAUUUUUCAGGAAAAUAAUUUAUGGCCUAACAAAUUUUCCAACAGAAAAUCCCAAAGUCGGACAACCAGACUAGCAUUUUUUGUAGUCAAUUUUUGGACUUAAUUCUUCAAAACAGUUUCAACAAAUCGGUAUUGCACACCUGCUAUGCACUAAAUAUAGUGUGGUAAACUAGCACAUAAUAGACAUAUGGCAAUUGUUUCAGGUACUCCUGUAUUUCCAGGGGAUUUUGUGGAUAUACUUUAUACUUUAUAUAAUAUACACUCUAUGCAUGAUAUAAUAAUUUCUUUGGGUAUGACGUUUUUAUUCCCAACUGUGAUGGCACCAUCACUGCCUCUAAGGAAUGCACAAUUUAAAAAGAAAACCAUAUAUACAACUAAAUAUCGACAAAGUACUGUAAAAAGACAGAUGAUUCCACUGGGUGACUAUAGUCAAUAAUAACUAAAAGAGUGUAAUUGGAU